GACCCUCGAAGGUCGUGCACGCCCGACCGCUCUCACACAAUCCAUCUCACCCCUUUUGUGCAUCACCGCGUGGGUCCCCCUUUUCGGAGGGAGGGCUUGCGUUUUCACAUAAAGCUCGAUACGGUUUAGAAUGUCUUUAUUUUUGCGAUCACACGCGAUCCGUACAACUUUCAACAACGGAUCUCUUGGCUCUCGCAUCGAUGAACAACGCAGCGAAAUGCGAUACGUAAUGUGAAUUGCAAAAUUCAGAGAAUCAUCGAAUCUUUGAACGCACCUUGCGCCCCUUGGCAUUCCGAGGGGCACACCCGUUUGAGUGUCGUGAAAUUCUCAAAACCCUUUCUUUUCUUUGAUCGGAAUAGGGCUUUUGGACUUGGAGGUUCGAUGCCCGCUUUCGCCUUUGAAAGCGAGCUCCUCCCAAACGAAUUAGUGGGGUCCGCUUGGCCGAUCCUUGACGUGAUAAAACAUUUCUACGUUUUGGACCCGGCAUCGUUCUUUUGGACAUCUGCUCCUAACCGUCUCAUGGACGACGAUGGUGCUCCGGUCUUUGCCACCCAUGUUGGCAGAAGGCUUGACCCACAAAAAAAAAUAUACCUUGGCCUCAACUCGGGUGAAACUACCCGCUAAACUAAAGCAUAUCAAUAAGGCGGAGGGAA
rnacentral:rRNA from 1 species